UGACGAGUUUGAUCCUGGCUCAGAACGAACGCUGGCGGCAUGCCUAAUACAUGCAAGUCGAACGAUCACUUCGGUGGUAGUGGCGCACGGGUGCGUAACGCGUGGGAAUCUGCCCUUGGGUUCGGAAUAACUUCGGGAAACUGAAGCUAAUACCGGAUGAUGUCGAAAGACCAAAGAUUUAUCGCCUAAGGAUGAGCCCGCGUAAGAUUAGCUUGUUGGUGAGGUAAAGCUCACCAAGGCGACGACGGGUAGCCGGCCUGAGAGGGUGUCCGGCCACACUGGGACUGAGAUACGGCCCAGACUCCUACGGGAGGCAGCAGUGGGGAAUCUUGCACAAUGGGGCGAAAGCCUGAUGCAGCGACGCCGCGUGGGGGAUGACUGCCCUUCGGGGUUGUAAACCCUC
rnacentral:rRNA from 1 species